UCACUUUACCUCUACCUGCCUCAGUUUCCUUACCUAUAAAAUGGGAAUAAUAAUCAUGCCUGCCUCUGUAGGGUGGUUGUGGAGAUCAAAUGAGAUCAUAUUUGUAGAGGUCUGCAAACCUCGAAGCACUACAGAGAUCUGAGCUCUUAGUAACUAUGGUUCCCAAGCCCCUUCGGAGAAACUCCACAGCUGAGUCAGCUCUGUGUCGGAUCAGAGGCCCCCGGAUCUAAUAGGGAACUCAGGGGUCACUGAAUCCAACCCCUUAUUUCACAGAUGGGGAAACUGAGGCCCAGAGGUGACAUAGGCAGUGUGUCAGAGAUGGGAUGUGACUAGAGGCCCCUGGAUCUAAUAGGGAACUCAGGGGUCACUGAAUCCAACCGCUUAUUUCACAGAUGGGGAAACUGAGGCCCAGAGGCGACAUAGGCAGUGUGUCAGAGAUGGGAUGUGACUAGAGGCCUCUGCCAGGGCCUCAGUGUGACUGGCCGACUCUGGCAAGCCUCCCUCCUUCUCUACCCUGAGUCUGUCACCCGUAGCCUCCUGGUUAACAAGGGGAAUGAGCCUCAGGAUACAAAUUCCAGGAACUCCUCUGGGAGACUGGCUUUCCAGCCCCAGUAAGGAUUCCUCUGAAGGGCCAGAUCCGAGGCAAGGGGUGGGGGAAGGCUGGAGGGCCUUCUGAGAUAAAGGCAACGCCCAGUGAGGGGUGGGGGAAGAGGAGGAGAGGUGACCGUGAAUUCUCCAUGGGACACGGACUGGAACUCCUCUCUCCCAAAGAGGGGAGAUUACAGGUUUUCACAACAGAAGGGAUCCUUGUCCUUCCUCAAUCUUUGUCCAUGGCCAGCGGAAGACAUCACAAAAAGAAGCUGGCACAGAGCAGGAAAAAAAAGCCCCUCCCUGUAAGGGCCGGGGGUCUCCAGCGAGGACACCUGUUACUCUCCAUGGAGCAUUGCACCCCAAAUUGCAGGUCUGAAGAAGCAGCCUCCCCCCAGGCUGCAGUGGGUGUUUCUUAGGAGGGGGUUUUGAGAGCUGAGCUUCUUGGGUCCUGGAGGAAGAUUUUCAAACCACCCAGAAACCUGAGACGUUUGUGUCCUGAGAGAGCCCUCUUUGAGAUGCCCAGAGGAGGGAUGGGCCUCGCACCAGGAUGGGGGAAGGGGGUACUUGGUGGCAAUCUCAUCUGCAGGGACUCUUUCCCGGACAAGUGGGCUCUGCUUUUUUAUUCUGAAUUAUACAAAUGACUUGGUUAGAGGUCAUCUUAAGCGCUACUUAGUCCAAGGAGACCUUCCCUGUGGCCCUUCUGGGCCCUCCAGCCUCUGUGGCUAGGCAAGGCUUUCAGAAGGCUCCAGUUCACAUACACAUCCAGACACCCAGACACCCACACACAUCACAGGCACACAUCACAGACACACAUCACAGACACACACACACAGAGACACCCAGACACACACACACAUACACACAUACACCAUUCCAACCUGAUUGCGGGUCCCCAGACUCAGGAUUCCAUUCCAGGCUCUGUCCCCCUUACACAGGCCUGGAAUCCAAGCAUCUUGGAAGGCUCAUCAGUGCCACCCUCUCCAGAAAGCCCUCCUGGAUCCCCAGCUCAUUACUUCUUUUCCCCUCCUUAUCUUGUGUUUUCGUAUCUACAAGGCCAUAUGCCCUGCAUUGCCCCCUAAGCCCUUCCACGAGGGUGGACUUUAUAUUGUCUUUGCUCUGUACCGGGCCCAGCAUGGCCCAGCGCCUCAUACACUGUAUUUGC